rnacentral:rRNA from 1 species
UUAAAUUGAAGAGUUUGAUCAUGGCUCAGAUUGAACGCUGGCGGCAGGCCUAACACAUGCAAGUCGAACGGUAACAGGAAGCAGCUUGCUGCUUCGCUGACGAGUGGCGGACGGGUGAGUAAUGUCUGGGAAACUGCCUGAUGGAGGGGGAUAACUACUGGAAACGGUGGCUAAUACCGCAUAACGUCGCAAGACCAAAGAGGGGGACCUUCGGGCCUCUUGCCAUCAGAUGUGCCCAGAUGGGAUUAGCUAGUUGGUGAGGUAACGGCUCACCAAGG